rnacentral:lncRNA from 1 species
UCUGUCCCUCUGUCCCUCUGUCCCCUCUGUCCCUCUGUCCCUCUGUCCCCUCUGUCCCCCUGUCCCUCUGUCCCCUCUGUCCCUCUGUCCCUCUGUCCCCUCACCUGUAGGUGAACGCGGCCGUGCCCAGGGCGGCCGCCACCAGCACGAGCCCCACGAACAGCGUGGUGCGGCCGGUGGCCGGGGUGGCACCUGGGGACAGCGACAGCUCAGUGCCACUCUUUGGGGACAUCCCCCGGACCUGUCCCUGUCACCUCCGCAGGGCAGGGACAGCUCAGUGCCACCCCUUGGGGACAUCCCCCGGACCUGUCCCUGUCACCUCCGGCAGGGAGGGACAGCUCAGUGCCACCCCUUGGGGACAUCCCCCGGACCUGUCCCUGUCACCUCCGCAGGGCAGGGAGGGACAGCUCAGUGCCACCCCUUGGGGACAUCCCCCGGAC